rnacentral:lncRNA from 1 species
AAAUUAUCUUUUUUUACUCACUUCACACUUAUAAGAACACAUCACAAUUAUUCUUCCAGAUGUAGAAGAAGAAUUUCUGGGAUUUAGUGGAAUUUAGAAGAACAUGUGCCCCAAAGGAAAUAUUAGAAAUUGAGCCUGAAAUGAUCCAUAAGCACUUCCAAUGCAUGUUGGUGGUGAACCUUUUUCAGGACCUUGGUUUUAUUGAUUUGAAUCUAUUGGGAAGAUUUAGUAAGGAUAGAGGAAUGAGUAGAAAUAAGACAAAAUGAAGGAAGAAGACACAUUAGGUGAGAGAUAAGUUGACUUCAGGAAAACAUUUAACUUCCAAGUGCCUUGGUAAAUGAGGGAAUGGACAAGGUAACACCUCAGGUCCCUUACAGUUUUUGUUUGAAAAUACAUCUACACUUAAAUAUAAUUCAAGGAAACUACAAGAAUUGGGAAGAACCUAUCACAGAAUGAACCAGAUAGAAUAAAUGAUUUGCCUUAAGUCA